rnacentral:RNase_P_RNA from 1 species
CGGGCCGGCCAGACGGUCGCGUCGCGCGGGGUCCGCCCCGCGCGCCGAGGAACGUCCGGGCUCCGAAGGGCAGGACGGUGGGUAACACCCACCCGGAGUGAUCCGCGAGCAAGCGCAACAGAGAGCAGACCGCCCGGUCGCCGUUCCUCCUCGGAGGGCGGCACCGGGUAAGGGUGAAACGGUGGUGUAAGAGACCACCAGGGGCCCGAGUGAUCGGGCUCGCUGGGCAAGCCUCGUCCGGAGCAAGGCCAGACAGACACCGAUGACGCUGCCCGCCGAGGUGUCGGGUAGGCCGCUGGAGGGUCGCGGCGACGCGGCCCCGAGAGAGAUGGCCGUCCGCCGCCGGUCUUCGGGCCGGCGGUGACAGAACCCGGCGUAUCGGCCGGCCCGUUCG